GACUCUCGGCAAUGGAUAUCUUGGCUCCCGCCACGAUGAAGAAUGUAACAAAAUGCGAUAGUUGAUGUAAAUUGCAGAAUCCCAUGAAUCGUGGAGUUUUUGAAAGCAAAUUGCACCCAAGGCCAUUUUGCCAAGGGCACGUCUGCCUGGUUGUCA